AGUUGUAUAAUCCCCCAGCUACAGGUAGCUAAAUGUAUCCAUAUAGUGGUAUCUAACAUACAUCCAGGGGCAUUAUUUUGAAAUCAAUGUCAUGCCAAUGUUCCUAGUGAGCGGUGAGAGAUGUCAAACAAUUGUCUUUGCUUUUUCUCAACAUCAAAUUGGCUGAAGAUGGAUGUUCUUCUAACCUAAAUGUGUACUGCAAAUUCAAGCACGGACUCUGAAAGUGGCCCCACAACAGCCUGCCAUGACUGGCCCUGUGCCACCUCUACCCAAACCCAAGACCCCCUCAGCCGAUGCCAACAAACAGUAAACCGAGGAGAUCCUCAAUGCCAUACUACCACCCCGGGAAUGGAUGGAGACCAACCAGCUGUGGGUGCAGCAGGUGUCUAGCACGCCGUGUACCCUCAUGGACGUGGUGCACCUAUAGGAACAGCUGGAUCUGAAGCUGCAGCAGAGACAGGCCAGGGAGACUGGCAUCUGCCCAGUCCUCAGGGAGCUCUACUCCCAGUGCUUUGGCCCAGCUGGAGGGGUUCAUUGCCCCCAAAAAGUGACCCCUUCAUUCCACAAGUGAUCUAUAACCGGCAGAUUUCAGAUGUUCCAACACAGCAUUAUGUAAUAAAAGUGUACUUCAUAACCAUAAAGCCUUGCGUUACUAUAGCAACAAAAAAAAAUACAA